rnacentral:rRNA from 1 species
UACAGAGGUCUCAAGCGUUGUUCGGAUUCAUUGGGCGUAAAGGGUGCGUAGGUGGCGCUGUAAGUCGGGUGUGAAAUUUCGGAGCUUAACUCCGAAACUGCAUUUGAUACUGCGGUGCUUGAGGACUGGAGAGGAGACUGGAAUUCAUGGUGUAGCAGUGAAAUGCGUAGAGAUCGUGAGGAAGACCAGUGGCGAAGGCGGGUCUCUGGACAGUUCCUGGCACUGAGGCACGAAGGCCAGGGGAGCAAACAGG